rnacentral:rRNA from 1 species
AUGAACGCUGGCGGCGUGCCUAAUACCUGCCAGUCGAGCGCACAGACGAGGAGCUUGCUCCUCUGACGUUAGCGGCGGACGGGUGAGUAACACGUGGAUAACCUACCUAUAAGACUGGGAUAACUUCGGGAAACCGGAGCUAAUACCGGAUAAUAUAUUGAACCGCAUGGUUCAAUAGUGAAAGACGGUUUUGCUGUCACUUAUAGAUGGAUCCGCGCCGCAUUAGCUAGUUGGUAAGGUAACGGCUUACCAAGGCAACGAUGCGUAGCCGACCUGAGAGGGCGAUCGGCCACACUGGAACUGAGACACGGUCCAGACUCCUACGGGAGGCAGCAGUAGGGAAUCUUCCGCAAUGGGCGAAAGCCUGACGGAGCAACGCCGCGUGAGUGAUGAAGGUCUUCGGAUCGUAAAACUCUGUUAUUAGGGAAGAACAAAUGUGUAAGUAACUAUGCACGUCUUGACGGUACCUAAUCAGAAAGCCACGGCUAACUACGUG